rnacentral:rRNA from 1 species
UACGUAGGCAGCAAGCGUUGUUCGGAGUUACUGGGCGUAAAGGGUGUGUAGGCGGUUGUUUAAGUUUGGUGUGAAAUCUCCCGGCUCAACCGGGAGGGUGCGCCGAAAACUGAAUGACUCGAGUGCGGGAGAGGAGAGUGGAAUUCCUGGUGUAGCGGUGGAAUGCGCAGAUAUCAGGAGGAACACCAAUAGCGAAGGCAGCUCGCUGGGACGGUACUGACGCUAAGGCGCGAAAGCGUGGGGAGCGAACAGG